rnacentral:rRNA from 1 species
GACGAACGCUGGCGGCGUGCUUAACACAUGCAAGUCGAACGGGAUUUAGUAAACAGAAGCCUCGGUGGAAGAUUACUAAUGAGAGUGGCGAACGGGUGAGUAACGCGUGAGCAACCUGCCUAUGACAGUGGGAUAGCCUCGGGAAACCGGGAUUAAUACCGCAUAAAAUCGUAGAAACACAUGUUUUAACGGUCAAAGAUUUAUCGGUCAUAGAUGGGCUCGCGUCUGAUUAGCUAGUUGGUGAGAUAACAGCCCACCAAGGCGACGAUCAGUAGCCGGUCUGAGAGGAUGAACGGCCACAUUGGAACUGAGACACGGUCCAAACUCCUACGGGAGGCAGCAGUGGGGAAUAUUGCACAAUGGGGGAAACCCUGAUGCAGCGACGCCGCGUGAACGAAGAAGGUAUUCGUAUCGUAAAGUUCUGUCCUAUGGGAAGAUAAUGACAGUACCAUAGAAGAAAGCGCCGGCUAAAUACGUG